CAAUUAAUUAAUCAAUUCAGCUAAUUUUAGAAUUUACACUGCAACUCACGUGCAGCCACAACCUCAAAUUGACUUCUUUGUGUAAAUUGAAAACACCAAUUACAAUUCUUGCAGCCCAACAAAUGAAUCAAAGCAAUGUCAACAAAUGUCACGGUCCCACCACAUACACUAACGCGUACCAAUUUAUAGCACCAACAAUUCAACUCCAAGUGUUAUGUCAUUGUGCCAAUUCUUACCAAUUGAAACAAAGAAAAUUCAAGAGCGUGGGUCCUACUUCAACUUGUUAAAGUUUCUUUCCUUUCAAUUUUUUUUUCAAGUGCAGAAAAUUCCAAUUGAAAUGUUAGCUCAAAUUCACCUUUAGUUGCAUGUACUUUUCAUCCUUUUGAAUUCAAAACAAAGCUGAAGCUAUUUUUUUUUCACGUGAACAUUGUUGUUGCACUUUAUAUAAAUGCACCAAUUCUUCCCGCACGAAUUUCGGAAAUCACCAGCUAAGUUCCCAAUUCCAGUUGUACUAAAUCACAGCUGAUGUUUGUGCUCACCAAAUUCUCAUCAAAUUCAUGCUGCCAUUUCAAACAGUUCCUUCCACCAAGAAUAACAAAGAUCAAAUGAAAAUUCAGAGGCACAGUUUCAAUUAGAAACUACAACAGCAAAAACCAGAAAACAAAAAGUUUGAUUCCAAAUAAACUGCACUAAAACAAUUUAUCAUACACUUUCUAGCAGCUGUCUAAAACUGUUAAACCAAAAAAUUAUGCACCCAAAUCUUCACUCAAUCAGAACACCAAUUUAGCUUUUGCACUAGGAAUCACAAAUUCAAAUUCAAGUGAUUAAAGCCAUGAAAUCUGCAGUAAAACUUUCCACCAAAGUUCAUUAAACAACACUGAAACAACCAGCAAAAUAUCAACAACUUCAAAAUUCGCACCGAAACAGCCAAACUGCACCAAUUCUAGAAUUGGAGUCAAAUUAUCAAACAGAUGGUAUACUAAAAAUAAAAAUCUGCACCAAUUCUAAAUCACCAAUGUUGCCUCUGCUUUGGUUCAAAAUAAGAUCAAAUUAAUGCACCAAACAAUUCUUUCCACCACGAACACUAAAAUCUCCCUAAACAAUACUUGUUCCAACUUGAAUUUGUAGCUGCUUCGCUUGGAAAAAUCUUAGGUCACGAACAACACUGCUUCCAACAAUUCCACUAAAUGGAUUUAUGCUGCUUCAGUGAAGAACAACGAAACAGUUCCGAUUAGCACUUUUCCAAUGCGAUUCUAGAUCCAGUGGGGAUGUAAACUUAUGUUUCCGCUGGAAACCACAACAUCUCUGUUUCGCAAUCACUACUCAGUGUUCUCAGAUCACAGGAUUUAAAAAUCGAUUCAGAGAAUGAAGAAUAAUAAGAUUAUAAAUGCAUCGAAAACUCACCUGAAAUGCCACUUCUGUUCACCAAUUUAGGUUACCGGAAACGUAAAAACCUUCAUCCACUGAUUCUGUUCACCGGAAGCCGCAAAACCUCCUUACACCAAUUUCGUUCUCCAAAAACUACAAAACACCUCCGUUCGAGAUUCCUCUAACACCGCACCGCUUCAAUUAGAUUUCACACCGAACAAUUUUUUCGUCAAAAUUUUGUUUCUCAGUUUCGCACCAAACUCAGCUCACAUGUUUUCAAAAUCACAUUAAGAAUGAAGAACAAGAUGAACAAAUUGAAAACGCAUAUGAACGUGAACGAGCAACAAUUUUCGUGAAAUUUUGACAAUAGAAACAGAAUCAGAACUGCUAUUUGCACCACAGAUCCAAUGAGAUCUCACAAACAGAUCCAGAUUACUCUUCACAUCUUGAAAUUUCUUUUUAAACCACGAACAAUUUUUGGAAAAAAUUUAGAGAAUUUUCGAAAAUGAAUUUUGAGAGAAUGAUAAUGGAACCCUAACUCAAAGAAAAUUGCUAAUGAUCUAGUAGCAAUUUAUGAACUCAAAAACGAAAAUCAAAAGCACUCAAGAGCUCUAAUCUAUGAAGAAAUUUGAAAAAAAAUCAAAAAGUUUAACCAAUGAAUUUUGUGACAAUUUUUGGACUAAACAUGACUCCGGACAAAACAUUUAUGUCAAAAUGACUCAAAUAUAAGAAAAUUUCACCAAACAAAUUUGAAGAAAACUCAAAAAGUUCAAAAGCACACAUGAACAUGAACACAAGAACACCUAAAAAUAUAUACAUGAAGUUUCAAGUAAGAACAACUAAUUUGAACGGAACAAAAACACAAAAUCAUGAAAAACAAAAUAUGAAAACAACGCGAAAUUAUGAAAAAAAGUAGAAGAAAAUCUUAC
rnacentral:lncRNA from 1 species